UAACUGUAGGUGAACCUGCAGUUGGAUCAUUGCAAGGCACUAAACCGGAAAGGGUGGGUUGCUUGCGACGGCGGCUGGCGGAAACGCCGGACCGUCUUCGCCAACCCUUCGAACGAGCCCGGAUGCUGCUUGACCCAUCCGAUCUUGGCUUGCCAAGGUCCUGGUGGCUGAGCAAUGCACGAGCUGGGCAAGUCGGCGCCCGGGAAAUGCGGUGGCCUCGGCCACGCGGCACACCCGAAUGGCGAUUUCCGCACCGUUCACAACUGGCCACGAUCGAUGUCUCGGCUCAG
rnacentral:misc_RNA from 1 species